rnacentral:tRNA from 1 species
GCCCCUGUAGUUUAAUGGAUAAAAUACAGGAUUCCGGUUCCUGUGCUAUGAGUUCGAUUCUCAUCGGGGGUA